GACAGUGUGGUGUAGUGGUUUGAGUGUUGGACUAGGAUUCUGGAGACCAGGGUUCUAAUCCUUGCCUGGCCA